rnacentral:rRNA from 1 species
GAGGCAACUCUGACCCAGCCAUCCCGCGUGUAUGAUGAAGGCCUAUGGGUUGUAAACUGCUUUUAUACAGGAAGAAACAGCUAUACGUGUAGAGCCUUGACGGUACUGUAAGAAUAAGCACCGGCUAACUCCGUGCCAGCAGCCGC